rnacentral:misc_RNA from 1 species
GUGGACUAUGAUUACAAAAAGACUGCUUGAUAUACAAUAUGUCUACUCAGAUACGCUACCAUUACUGACAAUAAUUCCUCAAUUCAUUUACCUUCCAUCAUGCUACAAACUGUUUAUUCUAACCAAUGCUGUAAAUACUCUUAUUUUUCUGAUGUUCUCCAUUACACGUGGCAUCUAUUGCACUUCUGUCCAUCCUGGGGGAGAGAUCCCUCACAUGUGGCU